AAGGAAUAUUGGUCAAUGGACGCAAGUCUGAACCAGCCAUGCCGCGUGAAGGAUGAAGGUCCUCUGGAUUGUAAACUUCUUUUAUAGGGGGCGAAAAAAGGUCUUUCUAGAUCACUUGACAGUACCCUAUGAAUAAGCACCGGCUAACUCCGUGCCAGCAGCCGCGGUAAUACGGAGGGUGCAAGCGUUAUCCGGAUUCACUGGGUUUAAAGGGUGCGUAGGCGGGUAGGUAAGUCAGAGGUGAAAUCCUGGAGCUUAACUCCAGAACUGCCUUUGAUACUAUCUAUCUUGAAUAUGGUGGAGGUAAGCGGAAUAUGUCAUGUAGCGGUGAAAUGCAUAGAUAUGACAUAGAACACCUAUUGCGAAGGCAGCUUACUACGCCUAUAUUGACGCUGAGGCACGAAAGCGUGGGGAUCAAACA
rnacentral:rRNA from 1 species